rnacentral:rRNA from 1 species
GACAGAGGGUGCAAACGUUGCUCGGAAUCACUGGGCGUAAAGGGCGUGUAGGCGGGCAGGAAAGUCAGAUGUGAAAUCCCCAGGCUCAACCUGGGAACUGCAUUUGAAACUCCCUUUCUUGAGUACCGGAGAGGAAAGUGGAAUUCCUGGUGUAGAGGUGAAAUUCGUAGAUAUCAGGAGGAACACCAGUGGCGAAGGCGGCUUUCUGGACGGUAACUGACGCUGAGACGCGAAAGCGUGGGGAGCAAACAGG